rnacentral:snRNA from 14 species
UUUCUAACCAGAAAGACAGCAGGGCCUUACUAAAGACCCGUACUACAAUUUUUGCAGCCCUGUUCUUCGGAGCAGGGG